UAUUUUUUUAAACAUUUUCUUAAGUUGGUGCAAUGAUCUUUAAUAUGUCUUGCUAUCAUAAAUUUUUUUAGUGAUUCAAUGGAACAAGAUAAUAUUGAUGAAGCCAAUGAUGAUUUAGAAGAUUCCUUUGAGGAAGAUGAAGUUCUAACUAUUGUUUGAAGUUUGAUCAAGGUUGGCGGAGCAAAUCAUAUCACUAUUGAAAUGGGAAGCUACCUGGAAAUUUAGACUUGAAAUGUACUUUUGUUUUGAGUUGUUUGGUGUGCCUCCUAAGAAACAUAUAUGGUUUUGAGUUUAUUCUGUAAUAGAAGCUACUUGGAAAUUUAGACUUGAAAUGUACUAUUGUUCUUGGAAUUUCAU